rnacentral:rRNA from 1 species
UCUGCGGAAAGGUCAUUGAUUUUAUUGUGCCCACACCGUGAACCAAUUAUGCCCUUUCUGAAAGGCAAUUCCUGAAAGGGAGCUUGCCGAUUGAAAGCGCAGGUCAGGGGCUGCAGCUCUUUGGCUGUCAGUUGACUUGGCUGGGCGGGUCCAAUACCAGUUGGGUUCCUCUUGCCUUGGCUUGAGGUUUCCGCUGUGAGGGGUGGCUUGAAAAACUUUUAAGCAAUUUUUCUGAAGACAGACUGCUAGCUGGCUUGCUGGCUGCAGACUGAAUUAAUAAAGACAACUCUCAACAACGGAUAUCUUGGCUCCCGUAACGAUGAAGAACGCAGCGAAAUGCGAUACGUAGUGUGAAUUGCAGAAUUCCGUGAACCAUCGAAUCUUUGAACGCAAAUUGCGCUUGAGGCCUCGGCCAAGAGCAUGUCUGGCUCAGCGUCGGCUUACUACCCUCAAUCAACUCCCUUGUGGAAUUGAUUGGAGCUGGCUUUCCGGUUUUCCGAUUAGGUUGCCGGUCAGCUGAAAAACAUUCGCGCUGUGGGAGCUGCUUUCCCUUCAAAAAGGAAAGCCGAGUUCCGAUUUGGUAGGUGACCUUUGCCGGUUACAUGCCUUCGUUGCUCGCAAAUGGCUUCCAUGAAAGCGGGUGCAGGACGCCUUUUGGCUUUCGA